rnacentral:lncRNA from 1 species
CUGCAGGAGAAUGUGAUUUUGAGAAGACAUGUUGAUCUUUCAUCAAAGUAUGGUCACCAAUCGUGCCUCGAGUCGAGUCAAUAAUUGUUCAUGGCAUAUUUACACACGAUAGAAUUAAGAAGAGAGACGAGUAAGUAAAUUUACUAAUUUUUUUGAAACAGGUCAUGUGUAUAUUCUAUGUACUAUAGUUCCUCAGAAUUGGAAACAAAUGAAACAUAUAAAAUUAUCGUUAAUGCAUGAAUUCGUUCAUGAAUGAAAAGUCGGUUCCUUCGACCACGACGUAGAAACAUAAACUUACAAUUUAUCUAGAACUCGGGAAUUAAGUUCAUUAAAACGAUACAAAAACAUUCAAGAUCAUCUGUCUAUGCUUUCUAUGUCUUAACAGCAACCUGCAAAAGCAUUUAUUGUACUAUUCCUCGCUCAUUCUUAUUGACAUCAUGGUACGAAAACCCAAAAGAAAACAAGAAUCAUAAGACAGAGGAACGAGUAAAUAUAGGUUAGAUAGUUUCUAACUUGUCGCUCUGCAGAAGAGGAUAGCAGCAUCAAUGUAAUCGUUCGUCUCUUAUCCCACACCUACAAAAAUCACACGUGACAAAUAAUGAACAUCGAAGUGCUCUUCACCUCAGUCGGAUAUUCUAAUCUCAACACCAAGGACGUCCUUCACUUGUUCAUACGUCACAAAAGCAAUAGCAAUUGACGGAACGACCUGAACAGAAAUUGCAAUAUUAAAUGAUACAGGUCUAUCUGCACAAGGAACAAUUGCUUCAAUAUUCAGUCAAACAUAAAACUUCUGAAUUUCCCCGUAAUUUUUCCCCUGAAAAAUGUCAGACUUAAAAUUAACUAGCUAUAAAUUUAUUAUUUGGUCUGAACCCGAAGUGUGUUUGACACAUAGUAUUCGACCUUACUCGACUGGACAAGGAACAAUAUUUUAGAUUUACUUGCAGUUUUUUUCCUUAAUAGUAUCUAAUCCGCCUUACCAUAUAGAUCAUAAAUGCUAUCCUAGAAACGGUAGAAUGGUAUUUUUAUUUAACAAUCACAAUUGCAAGUGAACCCAUUUCUUUAUUGGCUUUCAGUAGAACUUUUACCCUGCUCAGAGUUCCGAAAGACAAAAUUACAGUGUCAAGCUCUCAACUAAAAC